CCAUGACCAUGACAAGUUGUCAGAACUAAACAAUAAACAUACUUGUCGUCAAUAUUGCAAAUACUACUACAUGAAUUCUCUGUAAUACAGGGUUGUGAUAAUGGAUGACGAAAGUGAUAAUCCCGAGUACGACUUGAUGAUAUCAUCAAAAGACUGGCAAAAAGUGACAAACACGCAUAUUCAGAAGCUUUUCUCUACGUCCGAGAUUGCUACGAGGGUAUAAUCCUAUAUUUUUUGAAACCUUAAGAAGAAAAUAGGUAUCAUUGUCAGUGAAGGAAGUCUCCAUUUAUUAGCGGCGCACUACAUGUUGACUUUCAGAAUGCCAUCUUAAUAGCUGGUUAUAGAGAAGGUGCAGAAGAAGGAAGGAAAAAUGCAUUCCAGAAAGGUUUUGAUGUUGGCUACACUGAAGGAUUUUCAGUUGGCCACAAAUUAGGUAUCAUCAGAGGAGUAUUGAGUGUUCUUCAGAAUGAUACUGGACGUUCACCAGCACCAAGCAAAGAAGAGGAAAAAAGAUGCAAGCCUCUCGGCAACCCAUUAAUAGAUAUUUGCAAACUUUGUGAAGAAGACAACCAGAACCAUGACUCUCCUGCAGAUGUUUCUGAAGUACGCUUAAAACAAGAAAGGAUAUCAGCUGAAAAAAUUAAAGAAUUAAAAGACCAGCAUGCAGAACAAUUUACUAAAUUUGGUAUUGUAAUAGAUGACAUUAUGGGUACUAAAUAAGACCAUAGAACAAUCUCCUACAAUUUUUUUAUGGUGCCAAGUGUGUGAAAUGUCAUAUGGACAUAGCUGACUGAUGAAAUUGUGAGCAUAUUCUUUUGUGUAUUUUUUGUUAGAGUUGCUAAUUAAUACUCCAAAAACCAGAAUGACAAAAGCAUGAUUUUAAAAACUCAAUAAGUUACAGUAGUAAGUAACAUAUAAAACAAAUAUCCGGUAUAGUUCUGGAUUCAUUGCACUAGCUUGUAAAAGAAUUUGCAACCAAUUUUCCUAUUUACUUGAGUGAACAGAAGAAAAAAAGUGUUUUACCACUACCUACAAUGCUAAUAUAAAAAUAGUUGUUUAUUAAUUACUUGUGACCGACUUGACAUUUACUUAAAAAAUGAUAUACGAAGAAGGCUGAAAACAUGAUGCAGCUACAAAAGAGCAACUUUUUCACUCGUUCUUUUCUUUAAAAUAAUCAAACCUUUUUCAAAUUAUUAUAUUAGUUUGUUAUUUAUAGUCUUAGAAUGUUUUGUAUUUGAGUAUAAAAGAAUAACUGAAUAUAUUUAUUUUAAUAUAAAAGGUCUACCUUUGUUUUGUCAGCUUUGAACUUCAGGCAUUUCCAAUUCAAAGUAAAGACUUUCUUUGUUGAAUAUACUUUUAAAAUCCAAUGAGAAGCAUUUUUAUGUUAAACAUACUGCAUAUAUGCUGUGAAACACAUUGUACCAAAUUGUUACAUUUAAUAUGUUAUUAAAAUAAA